GAAAAAGCGACGAGAAGGAGAAGUAGAAAAUCAGGCUUUUUACAGAGAGAACCACCUUUUGGCUGGAAGUGGUUUAUAAGCGGAUUUUUGAAAUGCCCCUUCGAGUCUUCUGCUGAACAACGAAGAGUUUCGGGAAACGUCUAAUGGCGCAAAGUAAGUAGAAGCGGUAUAAACCGUUAUCAUGGAUGAGUUUGAGGCUUCUUAGCCUAAACAGAGUGGAACCGCGCUUAUAAGGCGUCUCUGUC
rnacentral:ncRNA from 1 species